GAGUUUGAUCCUAGCUCAGGGUGAACGCUGGAAAUGUGGAUACCGGCAUGCAAGUCAAGGGGCCGCAAGGCACCGGCGAACGGCUUAGUAACACGUAGAUACAUACCGUAAAGUGGGGCAUAGCUCGUCGAAAGACGGGGUAAUUUCCCAUAGCACCAAUCCAAAACUUAGAAAGUUUUGGAAUUAUUCUAAUUAUACUAAUUACUCUAAUUAUUCUAAUCAAUACCUGAAUUAGUGAAUUUCUAAUUUCUAAAACGAUUUAGGAUUUGGAUAUUUUCGAUUUGGGAUUUGAUUAGGUUAAUUAGGUUAAUUAGAAUAAUUAGGUUAAUUCCGUCCAAAACUUGUUGAGUUUUGGAUUGGUUAAAGGCGCAAGCCGCUUUAUGAAUGGUCUGCGGUCUAUCAGCUAGUUGGUGGGGUAAAAGCCUACCAAGGCUAUGACGGAUAGGGGGCGUGAGAGCGCGACCCCCAAGAAUGGCACUGCGAUCAAUCGGUCGCCUAGAGAAGUAAUUUUCUAGUAAAAUCUAGCUAUAUCGGUGGAACCCAAGAGUACUUAAUUAUGCUAUAAUUAGGUAUGGGCAAUCCCGAGGGAAGUCGAAUAUUAUCUAUUAAAGUCUCAACGUCUGAGGCAGCUUUUAUUGCAGGUUUUCUAGAAGGGGAUGGCUGUAUUUCAGCAAAAAUAGGCCCCACUUCUGGAAGCUAUAGAGUUCGUUUGGUUAUUAGUUUCACUC
rnacentral:ncRNA from 1 species